GCGUCGGGCCCUCGGAGGAAGCCCGCCUCGGAAGGAGUCUGGGCCAAAAAGGAGGCGGGGGAGAGGCGGACUGAGCGGGGCAAAACAACUUUGAUUUUUAGUUGUACUUAACUCGCUCUCCUCCCUUCGCUCCCCUUCCCCAAAACGACUUUCUCUUCCGGGGUCAGGCAGGACCGCCCCGAAGCGUACCUCGCGCGCCGUGGGCGCCUCGAGCCAGGGCGUUCGGCGGGGUUUGGAGGUGUCUGCACCGCCCUGGCCGCUGCUUCCUCGGCCACUUGCGCGCUCGCUGCACAGCAGCCCGAGCCGUGGGCGCGCCGCCCCCAGCACCUGCGGCGCCCAGUCCGGCCGUGACCCCCCGGCCCGCGGGCACCGCCUGCAGGCUGUGUGACCUGGAGCACAUCUUCAGGAAUCAUUCAUUGUGUGUGUGCGUGAUAAUAGGAAAUCCCUCUCCCCAUGCCACCAAAAGCCUAGGAGUCAGAGAGUCUGCGAGAUUCUCCUAGAUGUGGAUGCACCCUCUCAGGAGCCCAAACGCAGAAACGAGCUGGCAAAGAAACCCAUUUUGUGCCACUUUUAAUGGAAAACUGGUUCCUGACUGAGAGAUUGAGUCUAGAAUGCUUCGUUCCAGUUGAACACCCCAAAAGCAGCCUCUACUAGCUGUGCAGCAUUAGUAUCAGGACCUAUAGCCAACUUGUGGAGUUUCCUACGGAUGUCUGGAGCACUUACAGAUGUGAAACAGGGCUAUCCAUCCACAGGCACAAGACUCCUGGCUGGUUCACCAAAAUUGAUACCAAACCUCUCAAUCUCAAGUCCGUGUGCCCGAUGCGCAGCAAGCCAAACACUGAGACCUUGGUGCUUGAAGAUGGAGAAAGGUUUCUUCAAAUUGGCCAAAACGCACCCCUCAGGUACCCAGCUUCACUAUUAAAGGCUAAUGACCUUCUGGGAGGGGAAGGCCGCAAGCUGAGGAGAGCCCCUUUCUUCUACUGAAACAAGGUCAGAAGCCUGGCAAAAGCGGAAGCACACUUCAGCUCUGAGCAGCUAAGAAGCCCGCGGGUCUUUGAGCCAUUUUAUGAAGCAGUUUUCGGUCAAACCCUGGAGCUUUCCACAGAAGGGGAAGGCUGCAAGUUGCUUUACAGCCAACUGUAUUAUGUUAGGCAUUUGUUUCUCUGAUGAUGUUACUUAGUGCAAAAUAAAAAAGGCUGGUAAAACAUGCCAUCUUGUGCUGGUUAAGCCCUGAGCCAGUAAUGAGCGUAAAUCUACAGAAAUGUUUGUUAGGCCUUUUGGUUGCCCACAGGCUGAGUCAAGCUUCUGUGUCCACUCUCUGAUAAGCCUCUCUUACUCUUUUUAACUGUGCUCACAUGACAAUGGACCAUGCAUGGCAGGCAGCAGAGUGGUUGCAAGCUUGCUAAGGAAGGAAGCAGUUGUAGAGUGACACAGCUCUCCCACUCCCUUCCAUAGUGUGCCCCCAAAGCUGCAGUGCAGGGUUGGACCCACUGAUACACCAGAACGUUAGAAAUCUCAUCACUCCAGACGGGCAGGGCUCCUUGUGCUGGGAUGCAGUUAAUAAAUGGAAGAGUUGGGAUCCAAACAGGAGUCUGACUCCUUAGUCCCUCUAGUCAACUAUGACAUUAUAUUUCUAGUCCUUUUGUCCAGAAACACACGAUCUUGUUUCAUUCAUUUGAAUCUUCUGUUGUAUACCUCAAUGAAGUUUUAUUACUUUUUCAUAUGGAUCUAUGAUAUUGUGAUUUAUAAUAAGAUACAUAUUUGGUCUUCAUCCACUGUUCCUGGCACAGAGCUCCUAAACCCUUGGAAUUUCUUUAAGUGAUGAGAACUGUUAAGAUGUCUUUUGUUAGGUUAAUGAAUGACUUUUGGAAUGCACCUGAGGUUGGGGGCGCAUGGCUAGGAGAACCAAUCAUUUGAUUAGGGGAUUAGAACUUUAAGCCCCAUCCCCCAACCCCCUUCCUCCCCCCACCAGCUCCAGGGAGGGGAGAGGGGCUAGAGGUUGAAUCAAUGGUGAACGGCCAAUGAUUCAAUCAAUCAUGGCUAUGUAACGAAGCCUCCAUCACAACCCAAAAGGACAGGAUUCAGAGAGUUUCUAGGUUGGUGAAGACUUGGAGGUACUGGGAGAGCAGUAUGCUCAGAAAGCAUGGCAGCUCCGUGCCCUUUCCCCAUACGUUGCCCUGUGUGUCUCUUCCAUCUGUCUAUUCCUGAGAUAGAUCCUUUUAUAAUA